rnacentral:rRNA from 1 species
GCGCACCAGGCGCGAAUCCUCCGCAAUACACGAAAGUGUGACGGGCCAUCCCGAGUGCCGUCCGCUGAGGACGGCUUUUCCCCAGUGUACACAGCUGGGGGAAUAAGGAGAGGGCAAGCCUGGUGUCAGCCGCCGCGGUAAUACCAGCUCUCCGAGUGGUGGGGACGCUUAUUGGGCCUAAAGCAUCCGUAGCCGGCUGGGC